UGGGAAAACUCAGCAGGUCUGACAGCAUCAUGUGGUGAAAUAUAAGCUGGGACAGGUGGAGCUGGAUAGAGGGCCGGUGAUAGGUGGAUAGUUGUGCACUGAAUACGAUAUCAGGAACUGAUAUUUUCGUGCCCGCAAUCCUGCGGGGAAGGAGCAGCCAGGAACCAAUCGACAUGUUCUGCCUGGGUUCGAUCGUUGUGGCUUUCCUCUGCAUCUACAUUGUGAAAAGUUUACUGCAAGGCAACCCCGAGCCAUUGAACGGGAGGUAUUCCGUGCCGGGUCGAUUUUACACCCUCAAGAAGUUACUGGUCCUCUGCGUUUACCGCUUAUUGUGCCUCUUUAGAGGGAAGAAGGAUUCAAGCAGCAAGAAUGAUCUGGACAUAGAGAAGAUGGGGCUGGGACGCCCAAGAAAGGAUCUGCAGAUUGCAGCCGGUGAAAUGGAAGGUGGAGGGGGACUUGGUAAAAGUUCUCGAUCAUCUGUGGAAGACAUGGAAUGUGUACAGAAAUUGAUGAACCACCCUCAUGCUAUCGACUCGGUUUAUUUUAUGGGAUUCACAGAGAUGGAUAAAACCUUCUUUGCUGUUCGGGUUUGCCGGAAGCCAAAUGAUUUGUGUGAAAUGUGGGUGUUGCUUCGAGUUGAAGGAGUUGGAAAUUUUGAGCAUCCAAUCCAUCCUGAUACAAUCACUUCUGUGGGCAGUAAGAACUCCUGGAGUGGAGGUGGUCUAAAGCUGGUGUGUCUCGAACCACAACGGCGAUGGCGAAUUACCUUUAGUGGACUUCUGAGAAGGGGACCGUACAGAGAUAAAUGGACUGAAGAGGAAGGAGAGCUUCUGCAUGUCAAGUUUACUUUUAUCUGGACGUCCUUUUCUGGUGUGUUUGACUUUGACACGGAUAUUCACCCCAGCGCUAUUGCUCAGAGCAUUGCCAGGGAGAAGUGGAGCAAAAAGUUCUUUGAAAACCUGAAAGAGUACAAUCAACAACAGACACAUUAUGAGCAGUGGGGUCAGUAUGUUGGAGAAAUUGAAAUUGAGGGAUAUGAAAGAACUGAGCUGCUUCUUCGUGGAGUGAGGGAUCAUUCUUAUGGUAUCAGAAAUUGGACUCAUAUGCAUCGCUAUGUUUUGAUUUUUGCACACUUUGAGAAUGGAUUAUCAGUGAAUUUAAUAGCGCUCUGCAUUUCUGCAACCACCACAAAUAUGAAUAUAGGCUAUGUGAUGUUUCCAAAUGGGAAGAAGGCUGGGAUUGACUGGUCAGAUGCCUCCUUAGCAGAUAUUGCUGAUGAUGGGGUCAUUGCUGACCUGUACAGAAUCAGUUUUACAGCAGAAGGCCAGUUGUUUAAUCUUCAAGUGUCAAUUGACAAAAAUGCUUCCCCUGUGAUGUAUGGGGGACUAAGUUGGGAAAGUAGAAUCCAUGAGUGUGUGGCCAACUACCGAUUGGAUUUAACUGUUCGUGGCUGGGGCAUAAUUGAAUUUCAUUACAGAAAUGAAAGCGGCCGAGAGGCUCCAGACUUCAUACCAACUGAAAAGUUCCAGGAACCUGUGGUGCCACCAUGCUCCAAGUUGGUGUUGGCGCUCUCUGAUGAGGCGUGCCAGUGUGCUGCAGCGGUGGGCAGUAAAGGAGCUCAGCUGGCACAGCUAAUGAAAAUGCAGAAAUGCUUUGGGUAUCAGUUUUCUGUACCAACAGGCCUGUGUGUCACAGUUGCAGCCCUGGAACACCAAAUGAAAAUGAACAUCAGUCUUCAGCAAGCCAUGGCAGAGCUGGAUGAUGUGACCUGCGCACGUAAAGAUGGAAACCUUCAUCAACUGUGCAAAAGGUGUGUUGAAUUAUUCAAGGAAACCAAACUGGCACAAGAGAUAGAAAAUGCCAUUCAUGACCAGCUUGCAGAGCUGAGGCUGAUGGGAGCAGAAGAACGACUGGCUGUCAGGUCCAGCGCAGCCUGUGAGGACACAGAGGACAUGUCUGCUGCUGGGCAGCUUGAUACAGAACUGGGAUUGAAAGGCUGUGAACAGGUGUGUAAUGCUGUGCGGGACUGCUGGGCCUCUCUCUACUCAUUCCAAGCAGUGCAAUAUCGCAGCCAAAGGGGGCAACCGGUGCCAUCAAGCGUGGGUGUGGUGAUCCAGCAAAUGGUAUCAGCCCAGGCAGCAGGUGUGUUGUUUACAUGUGAUCCUGUCACAGGACACUCGGGCAGAAUGAUUAUCAAUGCAAACUAUGGACUGGGAAAGUCUGUGGUGAGUGGUCAUUCAGAGCCUGACACCAUCACCCUCUCUUGCAGCCUGAAAGGGAAAUGUCAGAUUAUCAAGAAGGAAGUUGGAGCAAAGAAGCAGUAUUGCCUACAAAAUGAUGAAGGUGAAAUUAUAUUUGAAGAUACUUUAACUUCAGAAGCUGCAAAAUGUUGCAUCACUGAGGACAUCAUUCUGAGAUUAGGACAUGUGGCAUUUCAGGUGGAAAAUGCUUAUGGAAAUGCAAGAGAUAUUGAGUGGGCAGUAAAGGACACAAAGAUUUAUUUACUACAGGCCAGACCAAUAACAACAUUUUACAAUGAGUCCGAGUUUGAGCUGAUGCACGAGUUUGACUCUGCCUUGUCCACAGACUACGAAUGGCUGACAACCUCAAACCUUGGUGAAAUGAUGCCUGGAGCUGUUACACCUUUAACAUCAAGCACCUUUGUGAGAGCCGUUGAAUAUGCAUUACAGGAAUUAGGGUUUAAGUCUGGAGGAAUUCCUUGCCUUUCACCCUACAAUUAUAAGUUCCUGGGGAUCUGCUGUGCCCAUUUGUUUAUGAAUCUAAUGACCAUGAAUUGCAACAUGGAACAGAAUAACAUCAUUACACAGAAGAAGAUGUGCGACCUUGGACUGCUAGGAAGGGUUUUGAAUGAAUUAUCACUGCAUGAUGUUACCUUAAUUCUUGGAAAAUCACCCGUAUGGAAGAGAAUUAUCAAUGCAGCUCGAUUAAUUCAGUAUAUUGUAAAUGCUGAGUCGAGGGUAAACAGACUAAUGAAGAAAAUGGAGACUUAUAAGAUUCAACCUGCAAACAAAGCACAAGAAUUUUACUUUAACAUAGACCAGCAGCUACCUGAAUAUUUUGAGGCAUGGUGUACGUCGCUGUCAAAAUCAUGUAGCUCUGGAAUGUGGAAUCAAGUUUUCAUCUCGCUUUUGUCAAAAGGAAACACAAACUGUACCUCUGAGCUAUGCGCUGAUGUUGCUGUGGCGUACGGCACCUGUCCAGAUAUUGUGUCUGCUGAGAUUCCGUUAAAUGUGGAGGCAAUCACUGAAGCAAUCCGAACCCAGGGCCAGACUACUGAGUUUCUAAAGCAGGAUGCUCAGACUGCAAUAUCUUGGCUGCUGUCUCAGGAGAGUGGAGAAGCUGGUCAGAAAUUCCAAAACUUACUACAGAAACAUGGCUCCCGCUGCCCAAGAGAGGCCGAUUUGCAUGAAAAGUCUUGGGCAAGUGAUCCUAUAAAGCUACUUCCAGCAAUCCAGAAAGCUUUGCAGAGCAGAAAAUUGGCUGUUGAAAAAGUAGCAGUAUCUCCAGGGGAGGCUAUUGAUUCCAUGAGAUCGUCACUUACAUGGAUUAGAAAGUGUGCCCUGCGCUUGAUCUUACCAUGGGUUAGGAAAGCCAUUGCCAGCAGAGAAUUAUUAAAAGCUGAGGCAAUCAGAAUGAGUGAUGUUUUUAAGGUUGCGUAUUGGAAACUGGCUAAACUUAUGGUACUGGAGGGCUAUUUACCUGAUGAGGACUUGCUGUUCUUCCUAACUCAUUCAGAAAUUGGAGAACUUCUUCAGCGGAGAUCGACAACCAUGGUCACCAGAGCCCAGCAUCGGCGGAGAUUACUGGGAAAGCAAAUGGACCUUCAGUUUAAGGAAAUGAACAUCGGUAAACCUGUGCCAUUACACCAAUAUCAGAGUCAGGCAAAUGGAAGAGAGCUAACUCUGAGAGGUAUGAUAGUCAGCCGAGGGAGUGUGAAAGGAACAGCGUAUGUUGUGAAAACAACCUUGGAGGCAGACUGCAUCCAGCAGGGGGACAUUUUAGUCAUGAAAAGCGCAGACAUUGGCUGGAGCCCAUACUUCCCUCUGCUAGGAGGGCUGGUUACUGAGCUUGGAGGAUUGCUUUCACAUGCUGCUGUUGUUGCUCGAGAGUAUGGGCUGCCGUGUAUUGUGAGUUGCAGAGGUGCAACAAGCCUAAUCAAGUCAGGUGAUACAGUGAUUCUCAAUGGGAAAGAUGGAUUUCUCCAGAAAGUUGAAGAAAAUUGAAAAUAUGAAUGUAUUUUUAAGUCAAAGUCAACCUUUUCUUCACGUGCAUAAUGCCGCAGUUUUAGAUUAACCUCUACUGCUGCAGCAAGGCAAAACCACUCUAUGAAGAUUUAAGAAGUUGGAAAGCAAAGAAAAAAUGCAAAGAGCACCUCUUCCACUCUGCACCAAAUUACCACUAUGCACCAAAUUGCCAAUACCCACACUCACUCUGGCUGUGUUUCACUCGGGAUGAGGUCUUUCCCCUGUUUGUGUGCAAGCACGAAUCCUGUAAGCCUGAAGCCUGCAGCGACUCAUUUUUGCAAUUUUGUAUUUUUGCACUUCUCUUUUGAUUUUUGAAGCAAAGGAUAUGGAGAGAAAGCAGGAGCAGAAUAAUGAGCUGGAUGAUCAGCUAUUAUCAUGGUCAGUGGCUUGAAGGGCCGAAUGGCUUUUGAUUUUUUUUUUAAGUGAACCUUUAUUGAAUCUUACUUUGUAGUCAUUGAUUUAAACCUAGGUGUGAUUGUGCUUUGAUUAGUUAAUCAAUAGCAAUCAGUAGUGAUAUUAUUAACUGCAGACUGUUUUCUCCAGACCUUGUUUUUCCAUAAUAUCCAUUCAAGCUAGUAUUUAUUCUACAUCUUUGUAUUCCCUUUUCAAGCUAGAUUACUAUAAAAAAGUUAUUUUUUGUUUAUCAGAAGUGCUAUUUCUUACUGCAUUCAAUGACCCUUGAACUAUAAGCCAGGAAAAUGAAUAACCUUACACAUGACGUGGUGAACUAUGGUGUGGAAUCAGGAGAUGGGGAAGAAUUUUCCCCC